ACCAUAUCAUGUUGAAACACCAGUUCUCAUAUGAUCACCGAAGUUAAGCAGCGCUGAGAGUGGUUAGUACCCAGAUGGGUGACCGCUUCGAAAUACCAGCUUCUGUA